UUGGGCUGCACACGUGCUACAAUGGCCGGUACAAUGAGCUGCGAUACCGUGAGGUGGAGCGAAUCUCAAAAAGCCGGUCUCAGUUCGGAUUGGGGUCUGCAACUCGACCCCAUGAAGUCGGAGUCGCUAGUAAUCGCAGAUCAGCAUUGCUGCGGUGAAUACGUUCCCGGGCCUUGUACACACCGCCCGUCACGUCACGAAAGUCGGUAACACCCGAAGCCGGUGGCCCAACCCCUUGUGGGAGGGAGCUGUCGAAGGUGGGACCAGCGAUUGGGACGAAGUCGUAACAAGGUAGCCGUACCGGAAGGUGCGGCUGGAUCACCUCCUUUCU
rnacentral:rRNA from 1 species